rnacentral:misc_RNA from 1 species
UAAGUAGUCUGUGGUUUAAUUGUUUUUUUUUUCAUUCGUUGUUGCCGUUGUUGGUUGCUGUCGUUUAUCGCUUGUUAUAAGCAAUUUUGUUGAAAUAAGUAAUCAUAUCGUUAUUUAAUUCAUUCAACUAUUAUACUUUAGUGGUCCGUGAUAAGAGUGCAUUCAUAUAAUCUUUGGCAAGAAAGUGGGGUGUAUAAUACCAUUACGUUAAUUUAAUUUGUUGUGAUAUGUACCUGUGAGCAUGGAUGCCUGCUGAGGAAUGUCGGAAUACGCUCUUGAUUUAGUAUUCCGUGUGUGUUCUUAACUACUUAAAGCUCGGAGUACACACCUUGAAAGUAACUUGUACAUAGCACACUAUGUUUUCCAAGAAAAAGAAAAAGCCUCUGAUUUCGCCGCCAAGUAAUUUUGAACACAGAGUACAUACGGGCUUCGAUAAACGUGAGGGAAAGUUUGUUGGACUUCCUUUGCAAUGGGCCUCACUAGUGGGUAAUAACCAGAUAUUAAAAGCAACAGGCAGACCCUUACCUCUGGUAGACCCAUCUGAAAUUACACCCACCGAAAUUCUAGAUCUUAAAACUAUAGUCAGAGGUGAACACAGAACUACCUCAGUAUCAUCAAUAGCACGUCCCUUGCCUGCAAACAUUCCACAACAGCCGGUGCAGAAUGGUGUUGUACUGCCAAAGACAUCAAAUGUUGCCAGGUCAAACUCUUUAAGGAGUACCAGCCCACCGAGAAUAAGGAGAGACUUAAGGAGUCAGCCUAAUGUCCCUCCUUCAGUCCCUGAAGAGUCACCACCAGUCCCUCCAGCCCCACAACAGUACAUGAGUUUGAGAAGAGAACACAGCAAUUAUACAUUGAACAAACCUAUUGCUGAGUCUCCUGUAGAGUGGAGCCAGCAUGCCCAUGAAGCUACAAUCAGACAAGUACCAGAAAUUAAUGAUAAUCACCACACUCCUAUGACAUAUCAGAACAUACAGAAUGCAAAUGUGCCUUAUCAACAUAAUCAUCCACCACAACCUAUGACCCAUGGACCUCAUGGACUCAAUGGCAACAAUAUCAAUAUAGGUGACGCUUACGGCGUGUCUCGUGUGCAAGGUGGGCCGGGCGCCGCGCCGCACCUGCCCCUCGCUGCCUCCAAACACGAACUGCGAUUGACGCAUGAACAGUUUCGCGCGGCCCUCCGUUUGGUGGUAAGCGAGGGAGACCCCCGGGCUACACUGAGCGGCUUCAGUAAAAUCGGCGAGGGAAGCACCGGCGUUGUAUGCGCGGCCACAGACACGCGCACUCGUCGCCGCGUCGCCGUCAAGAUGAUGAACCUCAGGAAACAGCAGAGGCGAGAACUGCUGUUCAAUGAAGUUGUUAUAAUGCGUGACUAUCCUCACCCAAACAUCGUGGAGAUGCAUGCUUCGUACCUAGUCGGUGAUGAGCUAUGGGUGGUCAUGGAGUACAUGGCUGGCGGAGCUCUUACUGACAUUGUGACGAGGGCACGGAUGGACCCUGAACAAAUCGCUACCGUCUGCAAACAGUGCUUGAAGGCUUUGGCAUUCUUACACAGUCAAGGAGUUAUUCACCGAGACAUAAAGUCAGACUCCAUUCUUAUGACCGCCGACGGUCGCGUGAAAUUAUCAGAUUUCGGCUUCUGUGCCCAAGUCUCAGAGGAACUGCCUAAAAGAAAAUCUCUAGUGGGGACGCCAUAUUGGAUGUCGCCUGAAGUGAUAUCAAGAUUGCCGUACGGUCCCGAAGUGGAUGUUUGGUCGCUCGGCAUAAUGCUUGUCGAAAUGGUGGACGGGGAACCGCCCUUCUUCAACGAGCCACCUUUACAGGCGAUGCGACGCAUCCGCGACAUGCCGCCGCCGCGGCCGCGCGGCGCGGCGCGCUGCCCCGCCGACCUGCUGAGCUUCGUGGAGUGCGCCCUGGUGCGUGAGCCCGCCGCGCGCCAGUCCGCCGCGCGCCUGCUGCAGCACCCCUUCCUGCGCCGCGCCGGCCCGCCCGCGCUGCUCGUGCCGCUCAUGCCGCCCGCGCACAUACCGACCAAUCAAUCGAUGUCGCCUGGUCCACCGCGCUCGGAUCGAUAGAAUACUGGUCAAACGUUGAACAUAUCGGCAGCUAUUUAUACAGAUGUAUUUACUAAGUUAUCACUAUGACAAACAGACGAAAAAUAUCGAACAUGACAUACCAAAGUUGUUGUAACGCAACUUGUUUUAGUUUAUUUUUGUGUGCACUAAAAUAAGACAUGCAAGUACUUAGCCACUGCAGCCCCAGUGAUCAUUCCAUUAUUUAUGUAUUUGUAUUUCCUUUGAAACAGAACGGUAUUUAUGACAUUCCUUCGAUUUUUACACUUUUCUAUUUACUUGCUAGUAUAGAGUAUUAAGUAUAUUGUUACUGUUAAAUGGGUUUUCAGUAUCGUGAAAUACUGUUAAAAGAUACAAACAUAACUUAUAAGAUAUUCCAAAUUUCCGCCCCGUCCAGUUUAGUACCUACUCGUAUAUUGUUGAAACCUGUUAUUGUAGUAAAUUGCUAUACAAAAUAGUGUGUUGUGAAAAAAUACAUAUUUUCUUCUACUCUUUUUUACCUAUGUAAUUCUAAACGGUUAGUGUUCGUUUGUAAAAUCAAAUGUAUUGUAAAAAGUGUUUUCUUUAAUUGUAAUUAAAAUUAGAACCAUGAAGUGCCAGAAAAUUACGAAAAUCGAUUAUAAAUCAGUAUUAUGGAUUGCCUUGUACUUAUUAUUAAAAACUUAUACAUUUUCUUUAGGUUAAGAUUUAGUGAAUCGGUAACUUAUUCAUGUCUAACCAGCUAACAUUCCGACUAUCUUAAAAUGUUUUGUUAUACUUUAAUAAUGGUGGUCUGUCACAAUCAAUUCUGAAGUCUUUCAUAUACAUUACUAUGUUAACAAUUUAUUGUACGAGAUUAUUGUUAAUUAUUUUUCUAAAUUAGCUGUCAAAUGUUGUGGCCCAAAAUGUACUGUGAUUUCAAGAGCCUAUAGUAUAGAGCCGGUCUUGUCGCGUUUUACUUUACAUUUCUACUGACAUGUACUCAUUAUAACAGAAAUGUACCUAAUAUAUUAAAAUAUCAUAUUAGUUGUUAAUGCCUGUAAACUACAGCAGCUAGGUUAAAAAACAAAUCAUGCAUUGAGUUGUAACUUUAGAUAUGGACAACGCCUUAUUAGGAUGUGUAGUGCCUUAAUAAAGCCUUUAUUGUUUAUAGUAAACUAGUUAUUGCACUUGAUAUUAUUUGUUAUGAUAUCUCAGACGAGAAUGACAUUGUUAAUAUCGUAGUAUAUUAAGCACAUCACAAUGAUAUUCAUUUUGAGUUGCAGUUGAUGAAGUGAAUUCUAUUCUAAUUUAUUGUUUUACAUUCACAUCAUUUUUUAUAAGGUAUUAUGCCAAAUAUAUUGUAUUAUUUCAUAUUUGUAAAAUCACAUUGUUAAGAACUGUUACAGAAUAUAGACUUUGAAACUA